GCUGCCUCCUCUGUCGUCCGUCUCGAUCGAGCAGGCAAGGGGAUCGUGGCGGCGGUCGGCGGGAUCUCGGAGAGGCGGCGGCAGGCUAUCCGAUUCGACGAUUCCUGGUUCGUGCUGACGCGCCGGUGCCAUCUAGACGAAUUCCCCUCCCGACCAUCACACAGUCUAUGGGUUCCUGGUCUCGAUGUAGGGUACACGGAGAGAAUGGAUAACUGUUGUUUGCGAGUCGAUCGACGAACGAACUCUACCUUAUCAGGGUUGUUGUAGGCGUCGCAAAUCGAUCACGUCGUGUAUGGAUGAGGGCAGGAGAAGGGGGGCUGUACAACUUUUCUAAUUGCUGAACAGGCUGAGAAGGGGGCAAGACUACUCUGCAUGGUACGGAAUGCGGUGAUUACGGCGAGAUCCCUUCCGUUGAUGUCAGUUCCAGUUCAUUCAUAUUCUGAAUGGAUCCAACUCGUGAAACUUGUGACCGCUGGAACAGCAUGAUGCAUUCUUCCUGGCUGUUUCAUAUGCUGCAUCAUCUUUCAUCUUAUUACCGUGUUUUUUCAUUUCAUUAUUUUUUUUAUUUGACAUGAUAGUACAGCAACAGUCAUAACAUUCUUUUCGUUCCUGUCAUGAGAGGUAAUUGCAUUUUUCUAAUGCACCAAACUUGCUGCUAGCUUUUCAGAUAUAAUAGAAAGAAAUACAUGAUUGAAUUAUUGAGGAUGCUCGUUCGAGAAAACAAAAUAUUGAGGAUGCAGCCAUACAGAAGAGGAUAGCCAAUGAGUUCACAGUGUCCUGCCGCUGUGCUGACUAUAUAGGGACAAGGCACUCCAGGAUUGAGAAAAUUCAUGUCCAUCUCUGUGGCAGAUUUCGAAUAUGGAUCUUAUAUAUGCCAGAAUGCUUACAGUUUAGAAUGGAGGGAACAUUUAUUUGAUGAUGUAACCUUCAGGUGUUUGAUGCCUAGGAACCUUUCCAUGGAUGCUGACUAAUCCUGUUUUUGUUGGAUUGAAACUCAAGGGUGUCAUGAACACGUGUCUGGUGAAAAGGCGUACAGAUUUGCAAUCAAAGUAAUUCGGGCACGAGAAUAUGACACUGGAUCAAAAGAGAACAAAGGCCAGAAGCAAUGACCAAAAAAAAGGAAAUGGCCAUGGUGACAUCCUUCCUAGUCGUCACAGAUGCUUCAGUCAAUCAGCCUUCACAAAAGAUGGUAGCUUUACACAUUUUUAGUGGGCUACAAGAAAAGUGGCCCAUAUGUUUUAGUGGGCUGAGGUGAAUGGGGCCCUGUGAGUGCCAUGUGCAGAUUUUUGGUCCACUUUUGGGGGGAGGGAAGCGACCAGUUCCACACUGCCUACUGCUCUACUCGGCCUUUCCAGGCAGAGUUUGGGCAUGCAUACCCAAAUCGGGGCAGCAUCCACAACCGGUCCAUGGUCGAAGUGGGGGCGUAGCAGGUUACUUGCACACUGUUUUGGAACGGCAAUUGCACGUCAGGCGCGUGGGAUUGAUUCUGUCAGGCGGGCGCGGAUCGGAGUCGGAGCAACGAAAACGCAAGCAAGCGAAAUGAUGGAACGCCAUCAGAGAUUUGACGAGACCAGCAGCAGCCUGGUUGCUGGAGUGGGACUUGGGACUCGGCGGGCCGGGCCAGCAUCGAUCUGCGGCCGACGAUGACGAGCCGAGCCCAUGGCUUGGACGGGUGCAUCCAUGGGCGCCCUUGCGCUAGCUACUAGCUGCUGCACGCGGUCCGCGGCAGUGGCUCUGGCACGGCACCCAUGCGCCAGCUCGAUCGAUCGAACCCCCGCGAUUCGCGCCGAGCUCCGACCAGAUUCAGGGCCAGUCAGUACCCUACCCUGCCUCGUAGGUCCCGGCAUGCACGCGUAUGUUUGUUUUACCGUUACCGUGCUUUGGCUGCUUGCCGUCGUCUUUUUGCACAGACCUUGCCCUAACUACAGUUAGGGCUUGUUUUGUUUAGUUUAAAAAAUUUUUAAGAUUCCUCGUCA